ensembl:lncRNA
AAUAAGAUGACUCUAUGUUGAUUAUUUUUGUUGUGCUAAAUAAAUUGCCAUGAGCCUCAGUCACACCGACUCUGACUUCUUCCUUCUCCAUUUACACGAACUGUCGCACACUGGUGCCGGAACUCGGGAAGGAAGAAGUAAGCCACUGCCAUCAUGCAAUCUCCGUCAACUUCGCCAUUUGUAGAAGUUAUUCAAUCACUCGUGGGCCUCCAGCAGGAACAGCACCAGGCCCUCAUGGAGAUGAGGGAAGACCAGGAGCGUUGUUUCCGCGCCCUGGUGCAGGCACAGCAGGAGGACAGCGAGCAGUUCCGGAGCUGGAUGGACCAGGAGGUUCGGGCAGGGGGGCUGCCAACACGGAACCUGGGGGCACCCCCUUAUGUGCCCCUGAACAAGAUGGGGCCCCAGGAUGAUCCAGAGGCGUUCCUUGACCUAUUUGAAAAGUCUGCUGAAGCCUGUGGUUGGCCAAAGGAACACUGGCCGGUGAGUCUCAACCGCCUGCUCUCAGGGGAGGCACAGGUGGCGGCCCAGCAGCUGCCCGUCCAGAACCUCCUGAUCUUCGCCGACCUGAAGAGAGCCAUCCUGCAGCGGGUCGGCCUAAGCCCAGAACAACAUCGCCAGAGGUUCUGCUCGCUGGAUCUGGGCGAAAGUGGCUGGCCCUUUGUGUUGGCUCAACAGCUCCGGGAUGCCUGUCGCAAAUGGCUACUGGCCAGGGAGGGCGACGUCGAGCAGAUCAUUGACCGAGUGGUGCUGGAGCAGUUUAUCGGCCGUCUCCCGAGGAAGACGGCAAAAUGGGUCCAGUGCCACUGCCCGGCAUCGCUAGACCUGGCCAUCCAGUUGGCAGAAGACCAGAUGGUGGCGUGCCCAGGAGUCGGCAAAUCCCUGCCAGCGGUCUCUCUCUCUCUCUCUCUGUCCCUAAUUCCUCUCUUCCCUCUCACCCUGUUCCUCUACCCAGGUCCUGUCCAUGGGUCCUUCCCCAAGUUCCUCCCAGGGGAGCAGGGCUGGUCAGCGCGGGCACCGCCAGAUUACCGUUCUCUCCACUCUCCCCACGCCAAUCACUUGACCUACUUACUCACUGCUCGUCUCCGGCCGCUCACCACGCCCCCCUUGCCACAGUAUUAUUAUGAACAAAUGUAAUUCUGUACAACAGUUCAAUAUGCACUUUCAC